CAGAGGUAGAGAAACACAUCGAUACCGCGUCUCGACCCCGCAGGAGAGUGCCUUUGAACCUCCAUUGAAAAAAAAGGGUCCUGUUAAAUGGGAGCCACAAUCCCGAACCGCUGUGGAUCAUUGCAAAACAAGAGGACCUGACAAAAGGCUGCUCAGUAUGCACGAAUAUGUCGCGAGAAUGAGUGAAAUGCAGCAGGAUUAUGCUGUGGGAACUUAACUUUUGGGCGUAUUCCGAUUAAAUGAUCAAGGGAAUGUUAACAGUUCAGAAUGAAAUGUGGAGAAUGGAAGAAUACUGCACGACAUUCCGUAAACGCUCUGCUGCUUUGGGCAGGGAUAUGGUAUGGAAUAGGCCCUUUGGCCCUUUGAGCCACGCCGUACCAGGAACUCCUGACAAACCUGAUUAUCCCUAAUCUAAGCACGGGACAAUUUCCAUUGACCAAUUAACCUACCUGGUAUGUCUUUGGACUGUGGAAGAAAACCAGAAGACCUGGAGAAAACUGAGGGAGGGCAUAUAGAGACUCCUUAGAGAAUGGCACUGGAUCUGAACUCCAAAAUUCAGAACAUCCUGAGCUGUAAUGGCGUGGUGUCUAUCAUCCAGAUCAUUGAUAUAGAUGACAAACAACAAUGGACACAACGUCGAUUCCUGCGGCACUCCGCUAGUCACAGAACUCCAGUCAGAGAAGCAACCAUCUCCUACCACUCUCUGGCUUCUCCCGGGAAGCCAAUGUCAAAUCCAGCUGCUACCAUCCGAGAAACGGAACUGCAGCAUAAAAGCCAGGACCAACAGGCUCCAGGACCAUUUCUUCCACCAGGCUAUCAGACUGAUGAACUCAUGCUGAUUUGAGUGUACUCUAUAUUACAUUGACUGUUCUAUUUAUUAUAAAUUACUAUGAUUAUACACAUUGCACAUUUAGAUGGAGACAUAAUGUAGAUUUUUGCUUCUCAUGUAUGUGAAGGAUGUAAGAAAUAAAGUCAAUUCAAUUCAAUUCAACAUAAUUACUGUAAUCAUAAUUUUGUGUAGAAGUUUAUAAUACUAAUAUUAAUGGAAGAGCACAACAAUUUCCUAAUAUCUAUUGUUAUGUUUGUACUAUUUUUUAUCAUGCAUAUUGCAACUAAUUACUUAAGAUACAAAGGCAUAUAGUUUACUGCAUUAACAAAAAUGGCAUUCACUUUUUUGAUAGAUACUAUGAUUGUAAAAUUAUACAAAAGAUAUCAACAUACACAAUACAUAGUAAAAUAUUUCAAGACAAAAGGGAAAUAAUGCUGUUUGAUAAUGUGAUAUCUCAAAAUUAAGUGCUACCUUCCAACAAGGAUAGAAAUAAUUGUCAUGUACAGUUUAAUAGCUGAUUGAUGGGUAUAGUUAAGUUAUUGAAUUAAGUGGACAUUAUUAUAAGCUACAAUUAUACUUGAGCUAUUUCCACCUCAUCAUAUUCCUGGAAGAUAAAUGAAAGCCAGACAUACAUAUUUGCAAUUCUGAGAGGCUCAGUCAUUAAAGCUUUGAAGGUCAAAAUUGUAUAACACGAAUGGGAACUAUAAUGUCAAAAAUGUUAAACUUUAAACAAAUAAAAAGUAAGUUUAAAUAGUAUAUAUCUGAACUCUUGCCAAAAUUAUCUACAGUCCAUACAAAAUCUGUUAGCAUCAAACACGCAAUUUAUGUAAACUGUAACUGACAGUUUGAUACUAACUCCGAUGAUGUUUCCUGAUACAGAACAAAAGUUCUUUCCAAUUGGUGAUGUUAAUAAGUACUUUAGUGAAGUCAUAUAGUAUUCAACAUAAAGCUAUUUUAUAUAACUAUGUAUAUAUACACAAUGUACUUAAAUGGGAUCGUGGUAACAAAAAUGAUUAAAUACUAUUGAUCUUUUCUUUAUUUUGUAGACACUCCCACUCUUUGUUAUUUUAAAGUUAAUAUAUAAUAAAUUGAUGAAUAUUGGCAGUGAAUUGUAGAGUUGUCAUUCUAAUCUCAUAUAUGGUGGUCAUACACAGGAGU